GAAUUUUAUAUAUAAUUUUAUAGUUAUGUUUUUAAUAUAAUAAUAUUAUAUAUUUUGUUGGGAGGAUAGUUAAAUAUAUAGAACUUUAAUUAAAAUUUUAAAGAUAAAUUAGUAAAUUUUAGAAUGGUUAAUAAAUUAAUAAAGAAUUAAUUACCUUAGGGAUAACAGCGUAAUAUUUUUAGAGAGUUCAUAUUAAUAAAAGUGUUUGC
rnacentral:rRNA from 2 species